rnacentral:misc_RNA from 1 species
GGUGUUCCAAAGGAUAUUAGCCUACAGAAGAAAAAAGGGCAUAUCCUCAUGUUCAUAGAAAUAAUUGAACAACAUGACAGACUUAACUAGGAUAUUGAAAUUCGGAUGAAAAGGGUGCCACGUGUUCCUCAUUUUUAACGUACAUUAUUUCUCUUUGGUUUUAUCACCUAGAACAUUUACAUCUAAGAACAACUAGCAUUUUAAAACAUAAGCGGAAGUAGCAGAGUAGUUCUGGUCUAUAUUGCUCAGACUCUUCAAAA